GGUAAUAUAGAUACAAAUUUAAGGGGUUACUUUAAGUUUUUUAAAUAAUAGUGGUAGGCAAUUCGGUUGCAAAUUAUGGGGUUAUUUUAAAUAUUUUUUAUAAUGGCAUAAAUGGGUAAUUUUGAUGAAUAUUAGAGGUUACUUUAGUUUAUUUUAUAUAAUGGCAGAGGUGGGUAAUUUAUAUAUAAAUUUAGGGGGUUACUUUAGGCUAUUUUUAUAAUAGCAUAGGUGGGUAAUUUUUUAUAAAACAUAAUAGAUCCAAUGGCUAUAAUGAUUUGAAUCUAUUGAUUGAUGGUCGGAUGUUUUGCUUUUUUGUAAGAAUUUCUAGAAUUUCUCUCUUUUUCUAGAAUGUCCACCUAGGAAUCCUAGGUGGCUUCACCUGGAGGCUUCAAAAGGAACCUCCAAUUAGUAAUAGUAAGAUGUGGGAUCCUUAUGGGAUGGUCAUGGUUGAUGGAGAGAAAAGAAGUCGGGGUGAAGAAAUGGGUUGCUAGAUCACUUGAUUUGACGGCCUAAAAUUUAGGACACGUCUAUACAGGCUACCAUCCGAUUCUACUUCUACAAGUGGGCCAUGAUCAAUCAAAAUAAAAUAAAUAUGAUGGACAGAUGGGUUGUUUGAUCUCAUGGAAUCGAUGGCUUAAAAUUUAGGAGAUGCAAUAGGCUAUGGUCGGACGCUACAGGAGAGUUGUGAUUGUUCCAUAGAAAAGCUUGGAUAAAGUGGGCUGGAAAAAUGGGCCGGUGGAUCAUGUGGAUUGGUCCAGAAUUCAGGUGUACGUUGGCGGGCUGGAAAUGCUCAUUUUUGUAAUUGGCAUGCUGAAAUGAGUUCAUACUACAUUGGUUAAAUUUCCAUCCAUGGGCCGGAAUAUAAGCUAGUUUGCACGCCGCUCACCGCAUCUUUAUAGAAUUGAUCCAUCAUCUUGCAUGUCAUCCUAUCUUUUUGCUUAUAUCACAUGAUUA
rnacentral:lncRNA from 1 species